CAACCUUCCAACAUUCCGGGCCCUCGCUCACCCUGCUGACCUACCAAGGGUUCUGCUCGCUCCACCCCCAGCAGCUGCAUUCCAGCUGUGGCCCAACGAAACUGCCAGGAAUCCCAGGGCUGCGAGGUUACCGAUAAUGCAAGUUUGGAAAGUGAAACAGGAAGAACGCAGGCUGAGAAAGCUUUUAUCCAGCCGCAGAGUCUUUCCAGAUGCAAGAUAGGAACCUGUCCUCUAUCUUUGUUGCCCAAACUGAUGUCAUGCUCUAAGGGACUGACUGGAUUUGCUAAACUGCUACAAGACGCCUUCAAAACCCCGGACUGCCUGCAGUGUGGGGCGGGGACCUGAGAAUCAAGGCAAGGAGAGGCAACUACUCUCCCUAAGAUGGAGGCUACAUGAUGUAAGU